UACGUAGGGGGCAAGCGUUGUCCGGAAUUAUUGGGCGUAAAGAGCGUGUAGGCGGUCCGGUAAGUCAGCUGUGAAAGUCAAGGGCUCAACCCUUGAAUGCCGGUUGAUACUGUCGGGCUAGAGUCCGGAAGAGGCGAGUGGAAUUCCUGGUGUAGCGGUGAAAUGCGCAGAUAUCAGGAGGAACACCUAUUGCGAAGGCAGCUCGCUGGGACGUAACUGACGCUGAGACGCGAAAGCGUGGGGAGCAAACAGG
rnacentral:rRNA from 1 species